AACCAAGUGCCCUGCCAGCCUGUUCUCACUUCAGUUAGAAGGAACCGUGGGAAUCGUCUGUGCCUGUUGGAGGCACACAGACCCUGAGGACACCCAGGCAGAUGAGAAAACUGAGGUUCAGAGAAGUUAAGAAGCAUAAUCAGUCGUAAACUUGAAAGAAGGAUCAGCUACCUAAUUGGCAGGGCCCAGUUCAAAACGAAGAUGCAAGUCCUCUUUAGUCAAAAGAUUAUGCAGAAUUUCAAGACAUACACAGAGCAUUAAAGCAAGCACAGGCCCCUCUGAGUAGGGGCCGCGGUCUACCACACAGGUUGCACACCCACGAAGCUGGUCCUGCUUAUGUCAAAACUCAUUCUAAAACCUAUGUCACUUUUCUGUUUCACCAUGUAUGGGAGCCAAGUGACUUUAUGGAACCUAAGAGAAUAGAAAAUAAUGCUUCUGGGUACAGUACGGAGAAUUUUUCCUGGAAGUAAUCACAGUCAAGCCUCUGUGGCUGUGUGCAUAUAAACCAAAGGGUGACAAAAUCUUGGGACUCAAGCAGAAAUGCCAUGGAAUCCUUUUCAGUAGGUGCAAUCAAGUGAAUAAAAAUAAAUGACGGAACCCAUUGCUUCAUUUUCUUUGCCUCCAUCUUAUAAUUCCAAGAACCCCAGCAUGGUUCUCUUAGACCCAUGGGGUCUUGGAUAAAUGGAUUCAUCCAGAAAUUCAUUAAGUGAUGAUGAAAAGGAGGCAGACCUUGGAAGCAGGAACCAUGAAGACCCCAUGCAGAGAAGCGACAACUUUGUUACUGUCAGAAGCCCAGAGGGUGCUGAAGCUAAGAGCUUAGAAGAGAAGCAGCUGCAAUCAGUGUCAUGAUCCCAGGGGAGAAGUGAGAGUGGAAAUUCAGGGCAGACUGACAUGAGUUCAUGUGAGAACCUCCUCCCACAUGAUCCCACCCCGAGACACACAGGGACUAGACGAGAAGGGAAGAGAAAGAAUUGCUUCUGCAGAUGUACAGGUCAUGGUUGGGACCUAAGUUGUCAUUCUGAAGUUCACUUUCCUAGGACCUUGGUGUGACAAUUAUUUAUGAAGCCACAAUUAUCCUGUGAUGUUUGCCUUUAAAAUCUAGCUGCUUCUGCUCCUGCCAUUCUGAGGAUGAUAGAAACCAACCGAAUCCUUAGCAGCUACCCCCAUCUCACAGAAAACCACCACCCCAUAUAUCUUUGGACACUGAAACAACCCAUCUGUGAUCACCGGACCAGGUGUUAACAUAAUCAACACAGACAUUUCCUUCCUGACUCAACCUGAUUAAUGGCUUAAUCUGUCUAUGGUAUCAUUUCUGGAAAACACAAAGGAGACUUUUCAUAUAAGCCUGUCAGAAAAGAUUCAGGCUCAGAAAAAGCAAUCUUUUAAUCACCCUCAGUUGGGCUAUCUCCAAGACGGCUUCUAGUGGAGCAAAGAUUAGGACACGUAGUCAUUUCAGAUGUGUCAUUCUCAGUGUUCUGACCUGCAGUCAGAAUCUAGAACAACUUGAGAUGAAGCCAUCGGUAGGUUUAUGAUGAAGGAUAGCUUUUAGAUUAGACACCAAAGACCUGGACUAACUCAGAAACUCCAAGAAUACUUGGCUACCUAAAUAGAAUGAUGUCCUGAAAUCAAAUAGAAAAAUACAGAGGUAUUAAUGUU